AUUGAACGCUGGCGGCAUGCUUUACACAUGCAAGUCGAACGGUAACAGGCCGCCAGGUGCUGACGAGUGGCGAACGGGUGAGUAAUGCAUCGGAACGUGCCCAGUCGUGGGGGAUAACUACUCGAAAGAGUAGCUAAUACCGCAUACGAUCUAUGGAUGAAAGCGGGGGACCGUAAGGCCUCGCGCGAUUGGAGCGGCCGAUGCCAGAUUAGGUAGUUGGUGGGGUAAAGGCUCACCAAGCCAACGAUCUGUAGCUGGUCUGAGAGGACGACCAGCCACACUGGGACUGAGACACGGCCCAGACUCCUACGGGAGGCAGCAGUGGGGAAUUUUGGACAAUGGGCGCAAGCCUGAUCCAGCAAUGCCGCGUGCAGGAAGAAGGCCUUCGGGUUGUAAACUGCUUUUGUACGGAACGAAACGGCUCUGGUUAAUACCCGGGGCUAAUGACGGUACCGUAAGAAUAAGCACCGGCUAACUACGUG
rnacentral:rRNA from 1 species